rnacentral:rRNA from 1 species
GACGAACGCUGGCGGCGUGCUUAACACAUGCGAGUCGAACGGAAAGGCCCUGCUUUUGUGGGGUGCUCGAGUGGCGAACGGGUGAGUAACACGUGAGUAACCUGCCCUUGACUUUGGGAUAACUUCAGGAAACUGGGGCUAAUACCGGAUAGGAGCUCCUGCUGCAUGGUGGGGGUUGGAAAGUUUCGGCGGUUGGGGAUGGACUCGCGGCUUAUCAGCUUGUUGGUGGGGUAGUGGCUUACCAAGGCUUUGACGGGUAGCCGGCCUGAGAGGGUGACCGGCCACAUUGGGCCUGAGAUACGGCCCAGUCGCCUACGGGAGGCAGCAGUGGGGAAUCUUGCACAGUGGGCGGAAGCCUGAUGCAGCAACGCCGCGUGCGGGAUGACGGCCUUCGGGUUGUAAACCGCUUUCGCCUGUGACGAAGCGUGAGUGACGGUAAUGGGUAAAGAAGCACCGGCUAACUACGUG